rnacentral:rRNA from 1 species
UACGUAGGGCGCAAGCGUUGUCCGGAAUUAUUGGGCGUAAAGAGCUCGUAGGCGGUCUGUCGCGUCGGCUGUGAAAUCCCGAGGCUCAACCUCGGGUCUGCAGUCGAUACGGGCAAACUAGAGUAUUGCAGGGGAGACUGGAAUUCCUGGUGUAGCGGUGAAAUGCGUAGAUAUCGGAAGGAACAUCAGUGGCGAAAGCGACUUCCUGGACCAAUACUGACGCUCAUGUGCGAAAGCGUGGGGAGCAAACAGG